CUGAGGUGUCAGCUCCCCAGUUUUGGAUGCUCCAUAGAACAUGGUAGGUCCAGAAGCCAGAGGAGAGUGAGAGAAUCACAAACAGACACGCAGGACAAGAUUCCAAAACCCGACUGGACUUGGACGCAGCCACGGUGCCGCUCUGUGCACCGACGCCCCCCCUCUCAUCACCUUCCCCACUAGAGCUUCCUGGCCUGGUUUUGGUGUCCUUGGGUGGCCUCAGAGCUGCAGACCCCCUGAAGGUAAAAUGGCUUAGUCAUUCACUGUCACCCCAAGAAUAGUGCACAUUCCAGUGAACAGCUGAGCCCAGCAAGGGCCAUCUGCCCGUGGCCCAUGCACCAAUGUCCCUGUACUGCCCUUCUUGGCGCUACCCAGAAUGCCUCACUCAGAAGCAUCGCGGGACUCCUGGCUUUCCCAUACAUCUCAAACAGGGACCAGAGCAAGGGAAAUAAAUACGAGAAAUUAAAUUUCUAUACCAGCAUUUCUAACCUUGACACUAUGGAAUUUCAAGCCAGACAAUUCUUUGUUGUGGGAGGCCAUUCUGAGCAUUGUAGACUUCCUAGUCUGUACCGCCGAAUGCUAGCGGCAGCCUUUCUUCUCCAAGCUGCGACAAUCAAAAAUGUCUGCAGACAUUGCCAAAUGGCCCCUGGGAGGCAAAGCUACCCUUUGGUUGACAGCUGCUGAUCUAUACAACAGUGCGGCUGUCACCCACUGCUCAGGUCCAGGAGGGCAGCUCUCCCAGGGAGGCCAAGGGUCUGGGAAGGUGAGUACACACAGAAGUCGGAAGUAAAGAGCCACCAGCAAAGGUGACCCACCUGGACACCUUCACCACAGCAGCACUGGGCUCUCCCGCGCUGUGCUGUGAUGCUGCAACCCAGGCCUCAUGUGUCUCCCUGGGCCUGCCUCAAUGCGGGCUGCCUGUGGCCUGUCCCCUUGCCUUCUCCAGAUAAAAAGUCAUUCUGUUCCUGGA
rnacentral:lncRNA from 1 species